rnacentral:rRNA from 1 species
AUGAACAUUGCCCUCCUGACUCGGUGGCUUUGGCGGAUUGCCAACGGAGAUGGUGGCCUGUGGCUCCGCAUCAUUCAGCAGAAAUACCUCCAUGGCCAGCCUCUCGCUUUCUGCCAGCGGUCUGGGGGAUCCCAGUUUUGGCAAUCCGUCAUCCAGCUCCUCCCUGUCCUCUGGAUUGGGACCUCGAUAGAGGUCGGAUCAGGCACCGCCACCUUGUUCUGGUUCGACAGAUGGUCCGGCAACUUGCCCCUUGCGGCCCGCUUUCCGGACCUAUUCUCCAUUGUGGUGGCCCCUCAUAUUUUGGUCGUGGCAGCCCUUAUUGACUUAGGGCAGCUCACGUUCCGGAGGCCCUUUCGUCCGGCUGAGACCGCCGACUGGCAAGAGCUGCUUGACUGCAUUGCAUUGCACGCGCCUGAUCUUACGACCGAGGAUGACAUCUCCAGAUGGCGUCUAGAGCCUUCUGGAUAAUUCUCCACCAAGUCCCUAUACCAGGCCAUUGCUCCCUCGCCUGGCCAUGAGGCGCUCACCUUCAUCUGGGAGAUUCGCCUUCCCCUGAAGAUUAGGAUUUUCUUGUGGCAAUGGAUCCACGGUGGCCUCCCGUCUGGCGUCGAGGUCCUAAAGCGCAAUGGUCUGGGUGAUGGGCGAUGCCUGCUCUGCGGGCUGGAAGAGGAUUCGAAUCAUAUCUUCUUCACCUGCGUGUUCGCGCAGUUCCUAUGGAGCUGUUUCCGCGAGAUAGCGGGUGGAAGCUGGGACCACAAAAACUUCCCCGCUCUCUUCGUCGAACUCCAGGCAAUCCCACUCGCAGUGCGCCACAUUAGGUGGCUGGCCAUUGGGGUGCUGGCCUAG